UUGAAAGGGAAACGAUUGAAGUCAGUCGUACCUGUGGGUAAUCAGCCUUUUGGGUGUGAUUUUGUGGAGUGUGAGGAGUUAAACGCCUUCAUGCCUGCAUAUUCGUGCACUUUGGGUGUAUUUACCCGUGUGGUAAGUUAACAUCAAUUUCGGUGGUCAUAAAAUGGCUGGAGGAAUGUAGCUUCGAUCUUGUAUUGAAGUGUUAUAGCCUUCGGUAGAUGUGAUGAUCGGGAUUGAGGAUUGCAACGGAUACCUUCGGGGCUACCUGUCUGAUCUCUGAUCGUUGCUCUGGUGCCGAAAGCUUGCUUACGGUUAUCAAAGUCGAUGGUCAAUAGGUUAGAACGGGUUAAAUUCGUUAAGGAUGUUGACGUA
rnacentral:rRNA from 1 species